rnacentral:rRNA from 1 species
GUGGGGAAUUUUGGACAAUGGGGGCAACCCUGAUCCAGCCAUCCCGCGUGUGCGAUGAAGGCCUUCGGGUUGUAAAGCACUUUUGGCAGGGAAGAAAAGUUUCGGGCUAAUACCCUGGAGCGAUGACGGUACCUGCAGAAUAAGCACCGGCUAACUACGUGCCAGCAGUCGCGGUAAUACGUAGGGUGCAAGCGUUAAUCGGAAUUACUGGGCGUAAAGCGUGCGCAGGCGGUUCGGAAAGAAAGAUGUGAAAUCCCAGGGCUUAACCUUGGAACUGCAUUUUUAACUGUCGAACUCGAGUAUGUCAGAGGGGGGUAGAAUUCCACGUGUAGCAGUGAAAUGCGUAGAGAUGUGGAGGAAUACCGAUGGCGAAGGCAGCCCCCUGGGAUAAUACUGACGCUCAUGCACGAAAGCGUGGGGAGCAAACAGGAUUAGAAACCCUUGUAGUCC